UAGGGAAUCUUCCACAAUGGACGAAAGUCUGAUGGAGCAACGCCGCGUGAGUGAAGAAGGGUUUCGGCUCGUAAAACUCUGUUAUUAAAGAAGAACAUAUCUGAGAGUAACUGUUCAGGUAUUGACGGUAUUUAACCAGAAAGCCACGGCUAACUACGUGCCAG
rnacentral:rRNA from 1 species